rnacentral:rRNA from 1 species
UAAUACGGAGGGGGCCAGCGUUGUUCGGAAUCAUUGGGCGUAAAGGGCGCGUAGGCGGCUUGGUAAGUCGGACGUGAAAUCCCCCAGCUUAACUGGGGAACUGCAUCCGAUACUGCCAGGCUUGAGUCCCGGAGAGGGCAGUGGAAUUCCCAGUGUAGCGGUGAAAUGCGUAGAUAUUGGGAGGAACACCGGUGGCGAAGGCGGCUGCCUGGACGGGUACUGACGCUGAGGCGCGAAAGCGUGGGGAGCAAACAGGAUUAGAUACCCUGGUAGUCCACGCUGUAAACGAUGGGCACUUGGUGUUGCGGGUAUCGACCCCUGCAGUGCCGAAGCUAACGCAUUAAGUGCCCCGCCUGGGGAGUACGGUCGCAAGGCUG